UGCGUCUACUUAGGAUAACACAUCCGAAGGACCAAACAUGAGCCAUAAUGUCAAUGAGGGGGGUCAACCCUCCACCGGAGAUGUCCUUCACACCAUUGGCACACAAACUCAGGAGAAGAAGAAUAGGAAGAAGAGAGCUUGUCUUCGGAAAACUGAGGACACAAGGCUGAAGAAAAUCAAGGUUACAAGCUCUUCGAUAGAACUGUACAACAAGUACAUCACCGCCAGAUGUUUAAGGCCUCCCAAAAAAACUGAUAAAAGGCCACCUUUCAUCGAUUACGGUGGGUACCAUAUAUCAUAUGAACACUUCCGUG